rnacentral:rRNA from 1 species
GACGAACGCUGGCGGCGUGCUUAACACAUGCAAGUCGAACGGAAAGGCCCUGCUCUUGUGGGGUGUUCGAGUGGCGAAAGGGUGAGUAACACGCGAGUAACCUGCCCUUGACUUUGGGAUAACUUCAGGAAACUGGGGCUAAUAUCGGAUAGGAGCUCCUGCUGCAUGGUGGGGGUUGGUAAGUUUCGGCGGUUGGGGAUGCACUCGCGGCCUAUCAUCUUGUUGGUGAGGUAGUGGCUUACCAAGGCUCUGACGGGUAGCCGGCCUGAGAGGGUGACCGGCCACAUUGGGACUGAGAUACGGCCCAGACUCCUACGGGAGGCAGCAGUGAGGAAUAUUGCACAAUGGGCGGAAGCCUGAUGCAGCAACGCCGCGUGCUGGAUGACGGCCUUCGGGUUGUAAACCGCUUGCGCCUGUGACGAAGCGUGAGUGACGGUAAUGGGUAAAGAAGCACCGGCUAACUACGUG